AUGAGGACAGGAGCAGGGGUCAACUUCCCCGAAGGGUCGGCAGCUGACUCUUCUCUGUGGCCGCAUCAUCGACAGGCCAGCCCUCCCCCCGGGGAGCUUCUGCUCUGGGAAAGGGGCCCCAGGACAAGUGGGAAGUCGUCACACGCAGUCCCCUCAGUCUGGGUGAGCUGUUUACCCCAGGCAGGCGGGGAAGCCUUGCCUCUCUCGUGGUGUCUGGCGCUUAGGCAGGAGGAUCCUGAGAUGCCUUCCCCACACGUCUGGCCGGCAGUGAUGGCUGCGGGCCUGGGCCCAGCGGGGCGAUUGGCAGGUCACGCGCACGCGGGCUCCCGCGGCCUGCACACGGCGGCCGGGUCUGCGUGUGAGCACGUGAGGCGGUGGAAGACCCCGGGCUCUGAUGACCCCGCCCCGGAGGUCGUGCAGUGUGAGCCCUGCGGCUUCCUCUUGGUCCCCUCGCAGCUGCGGCUCCCUGCUGUCCCGAGUCCCGAAGCCUGGUCACACGUGGGGCUGCCCCGCUCGGGGGCGCGUCGACGCAGCCGUGCCAGGGAUUGUGCAGUGCAUGACACGCACCGCCGUCUGGGCGGCCCUGCCCUAUGCUCCCUCCUGCCCCCUUCCCCCUGA
rnacentral:lncRNA from 1 species